ensembl:lncRNA
AUGGCCAUGUUGAGAGUCUCAUCCUACCGCCGGCAGUUUGAACUGUGGAGCCGGAAUCAAGAUUGCAGCUGUGGAGGUCCGUGCUGCUCGGAGGUCAAAGUCAAGGCCAGAAAUGUGUCAGCUGAAGUGUCUCCAUGUGAUGAGCUGGACUUUGUGGCUGCCAAGGCGCUCAACAAGGAGGGUCUGGUGCAAUUUGCUAAAGACCGCUGUGUUAUCGCCGCCCUAAACGACCGCUUUAUCGCCCUCAUCAACAUGGCACGCUGCUUUGAAGAAGACAAUUACUCUCUGGAGGCACAGAUCCGUGAGCUGGAGGAGAGACUGGCUGGCCAGCAGGCCACCUCCUCUACCUUGACUGUAGCUGUUCCCGAAUACAGCUGGGACGCCGUGGUGGAGAGACUGCGCAAGGAGAGGGACCAGAGCCUUUGUGACGUGGAGGAAUUGAGGAAAGAGCUGGAGUGUUUGCAGGAGAAGUAUGAGGAGACUGUUCAACGGAGAACCCUCAUCCAACUGGAGCGGGAGGAUGUUGGCUUGGCAGUAGAUGCUGUUACCGCGGAUUGUCUGGCCCUGAGGGAGCAGCUGAAAAUCUACGAGGAUCAACUGGCUCAUAUGGAGGCACAGCAUGACACGGCGCUUCAGAGCAUGCUGGGGCCUGCAGACGACCGGGCUGCAGCGGGGAGAGAAGCCCUGGAGUUCUGCAGUCCCGACAUCGGCCCAGUCAUCAUGGAUAUCAAGGAGUACUACAACCGUCUGGCUGAGACCAUACAGUGUGAAUGUAGAGAAGCUGGUGCUGUUGGUACUUUGUCUGUUGUCGCCGUCGGCGCUGGGAAGGAGCACACUGUGGGCGGAGCAGCUGGAAUCACGAGCAUCGGCAAAAUAAAGGACGUCGACCAACUGAAGAAACUGAUUGCGGAGCUUGAGAAAGAGCUUGCGGAGCUGGAGGCUUGUAGCGAACAGUUGGAAGAGGAGAUUGAGACCAAGAGAGAAGCGCAUCUGGAUGAGAUCGCCAAGUUGGAGUGUUGUAUCGAGGAGAUGCGGGCCCAGCAGCGGGACCUGCAGGUCCAGAUGGGGGAGCAGUGCGACGACUACGAGGAGCUGCUCAGUCAGAAGAUGGCCCGGGAGAUGGAGAUCGCUGCCUACAGGGGUCUGGUGGAGGAGGAUGAUGAAAGGCUGUGUUACCUGUGAGAGGAUCCGUGCCAACCGAGCCACACCAUCCAACUAACCAAGCUUUCAGCAAAGGCUCUCCCCCAAUGCCCAAUACACAUUUGAUGCACCAACAAGAAACAGACCUGGACCAGCCCCUGGCCAUCCGGAGACGCUAACCGGCACCGGCGUACCACUGUCUCAGCAGAUGGAAAUGAAUCAUGACAGAUUAACGACGUCUGGAGGGCGUGCCAAGGCCAUUGAUAACAGGUCACCGGCAGACAACCCCUGUCUUUUAAGAAAAAUGGAACUGUCUUUUAGGGGGGGGGGGGUUGUCAGGGUUGUGGGGGUGUAAGGGGAUAAGACAGGAUAGAGAGUGUGUACUGAGUGUCUGUGCAGAGACUCUGAAAUGUCUAAGUGGUCUCUAUAUCGUGGCCACAGUGUCUGAACCGGCUGAUACGAUACACACACACACACACACAGACACUCUGUAGUAUGUUUUGCCUCCUGAUACCCCUUAACCUGAUGAGUAUAUGCUCUUAACCUUUCACCUCUCCACUGUCCACAAGCCAUUUGAGUGUUCUAACUAUCCAAUAAGAUACCCCUAACCGGUCACCGCAGGUCACCUUUCAUUAGCUUUACUGUCUUGCAUUUGUGUGGGUUUUUGCACAGAUCUGGCAGUCACACUGUUCAUGUGUACUUGUGAACUGGUAUAUUAGCUUUGCAAAUGGUUGGUGGAGUUGACAUUGUGCAGCUGCUAUGUACACCUGGUUGUCUGAGAGGGGAGUGCUUAUGUUUCCCGAUGAAACUGCUCGUUCUCUGCCCAUGACGUGGAGGAACUUGGUCAUGAUAAAACAUUACAAUAAAAACACAUUUUGCUCGACAUCACCUUCCUCUGUUUUCUCUCUGUGGGCACUGUGUCAAGUGUGUGCGCGUGUGUGUGUGUGUGUGUGUGUGUGUGUGUUAAUACCACCCCACUUAAAUGCCUCUCCUUGUCAUUAUAACGGUGUGUUCUAAAAUGGCUCUCCUAUUUGUCUUCAUUCUUAAUCUAACAUGGGAACGAUUACCUUCAUUAACAGUAUCAGAGGCUUGUUAGCUCAGCAGUAAAGAUGAAAUGCGCAGCUAAUAAUGGAUGCGAUAAGACUAGCCACAGUGAUAUCCUGGUAAAUUCACAGACACACAUGCCCACACUCUCUUCUCUCUCUUGCAGUCUCUCCCUCUUUCCCUCUCCCUUUCUCGGUCUCUUUCCUUGUCUCUUCCUCUCACCAUCUCUCUCCCUCCUUCCUCUCUCCAUUGCAGUCCCUCUUUCCUCCCCCGACUCUCUCCCUCUAUAUUCUUUCUAUUUCUCUUCUUCCCUGUCUCCCUUCCUCUCUGGGAAGGCUGCGGCAGCAGGCUUGGUGUUUAAUUGUGUGGACAUGAAACAUGGCGGGCUGGGCAGGAAGUCGGUGUGGGUCUGUGGGGGCCUUAUUUUCUCAGGGCAGUGGCGUUCAAUCAUGUCCUCUGCAUCUGAGGUCUGCACUCAGAAGACUUCAUUCUCUCCAGCCUCCUACCAACCCCCCCCUCUGACGGCCAACCAGCCAUUCACUGGCCCACAGGAGACUGCUAGCCCACAAUGCCGGGACUUUCUGUACAUGUGUAAACACACAUCAACUUUCACAUUCCAAAAUGCAAUAAAGGUUGGCUGGAUUUUCUGUUCAUUUGAAUUUCAUUGCUUGAAAAUGUCAAAAUAAAUUCCAUUAUGGAAAAGGUUGUUGCAGGUUUUUGUCAGUCAUAUACCGGAGGUCUGGAACUGCAGCUCAGCCGUUACUUUAGUUUAGCAGAAUCCUCGUUGAUGGACUGGGUCACCUUUUGGUUAUUGGUGACCGUUUUAUCAUCGUCACAAUGCUGUCUGUUACUUGUAAGGCAUUGCCCAUAUAUAUGCGUUUUGCCGAGCUGGUUUAAACAAAAAUAAAGUAUGGACAACAACCUACUGUAGGUUUGGUCCAUUUCCUGAGGACAUUUCGUCUCAUUUGUGAGAUUCUCAUCUGCCUGUGAUUGUUUAGCAAAGGUAUGAUUUUUCCUCAUCUGACAAGUAGAAUGUGUGUUUUGUAAAUUGUAUUUCUGUACUUCUCUAAGUUGUCACAUUUGCCUGCGUAUAUAUUACAUUUUCUCAUCUUGAGCAUGUUAGCCCCUGCUAGCUUGCAUUUAAACUUUCAUUAGCUGACUAAGUUCUGUAGCUAUUUAGCAUGUUAGUGUUUAUUUUCUAUGUUAAACCAAGGUCAUUGUAUGUAACUUGUCAUGCACUGGCUUUUACAGUUGGCUGCUUAAUUAACCCCAGGUAAGUUACUGUUAUUUAUGUUUUGGAGAAUGAUUUAUUCUUUUGUGCUGCUCACAUGAUGUUAGGUGCUUACCAGGGCCCGCCUUUAUUAGGAUCACUGUGUUGUUCAGGAAGGCCUGACUGCAAGUAGCCAAUUAAUCCAAGCUCUGUGGAUUAAUAACCUGAAGAAUAGCCCACAUUUACAUACUACAUGCCCUGUGUGAAUGGAGCAUAUUCCUAGGUUUCUAAAAUCUCUUAAAUUCUAAUAUGUUGGAGCUCAAUUCUGCCAACACUAAAAACCAGUUGAGUUUAUUGGUCAGAAUGCAUGCUGUUGAGAAACGUUGAACUAAACUGAUUUCCUUUUUUCAACACGCUGGAAGGCUUCUCCUAUGUACCCAGACAAGUCAUGGUGGCAACUUACAACAGCUUGUUACGACUGGUGAAUCUGGUUGGUUAUGUAACGGUGACUCUGCUGAUCUGUGUCGGGGCUGCGGGUGUUGUUUGUGGUGUGGACCUUUUUUUUUGUUUUUCUUUGCCCCUCAUGAGAGGGCUUUGACAGCUAAGAGGAAUGGUUGCUGUUAACCCCCAAAAAGCUUGUCUGAGACAUUUAAGGGGUCUAGGGUAGCAUCCUUUAAGACAUCUGUAGCUGGACAAUUUUACUUUAAGGGAGUGCAGGAUGCUGUGUGGGGUGGGGAGUCAUCAAAGCUCUGUCAUGGGUCAGUGGUCAGUGACUUGGUUGGCCUUUUAAUCCUGUUGCCCUUGAGUGUGAAGGGGUAAGAAACUGGCAAACAUCAACAGACAAAGGAAUAAUAAAAAAAAAAAAUGAUUGGACAAAACUGAUUAUUCAACAAUUUUACUAUGUUAUGGUAUGGGGCAGGAGUAGGCAAUGUUGUAGUUAGUCAGAGUGGAUGGUCUGGUGCUUUUCCCAGAAAUGUUUCCAAUUUGAUUACACUGAGACAAUCAUAUAUUUUUUUUGGGAAUACUGGAGAACCGAUUUCGUAAUAUUAAAUGUUCAUAUUCCUGAUGCUUUUAUAGUCAUUCUUAUUGGCCACCCGUUGCCAACACCUGGUGUACGUUAUUGAAAUAACAUGGAGUAUCAAAACUUGAAUCUGUUAAUAGGAUCAG